rnacentral:rRNA from 1 species
UACACAUGCAGUCGAACGAGAAAGGGAUCCUUCGGGAACCUGAGUAAAGUGGCGAACGGGUGAGUAGCACGUGGGUGACCUGCCCUCUGGAGGGGGAUAACCCGAGGAAACUCGGGCUAAGACCGCAUAAGCCUUUGACGUCAAACUCAAAGGGAAAAGGAUUUAGCUUUCGAGUUAGAUCCUACCGGAGGAGGGGCCCGCGUCCCAUUAGCUAGUUGGUGGGGUAAAAGCCUACCAAGGCUACGAUGGGUAGCCGGUCUGAGAGGACGGACGGCCACACUGGAACUGAGACACGGUCCAGACUCCUACGGGAGGCAGCAGUGGGGAAUUUUGGGCAAUGGGCGAAAGCCUGACCCAGCAACGCCGCGUGGAGGAUGAAGGCCCUCGGGUCGUAAACUCCUGUCCUAGGGGAAGAAAAAAAUGACGGUACCCUUGGAGGAAGCCCCGGCUAACUCCGUGCCAGCAGCCGCGGUAAGACGGGGGGGGCGAGCGUUGUUCGGAAUUACUGGGCGUAAAGGGCGCGCAGGCGGCCUGGGAAGUCUUGGGUGAAAGCCCCCAGCUCAACUGGGGAAUGGCCUGAGAAACCACUAGGCUGGAGUGCUGGAGAGGGAAGCGGAAUUCCCGGUGGAGCGGUGAAAUGCG